UUUCUCUUAUCUUCUCUGUUAUACAAUAAUUUUCUUCUCUCAUCUCUUUGUUCCAGAACUCAGAACAGCUUGAAUUUGACAGAUCAGAUUUGUGAAAAACCGUAAAAGAGAAGAAUCCUCAUCUCCUCCUGCCUUCAGCUUCACCCUGGUGUAGCCAUUACAUUUAUUUGUGUGCUCUGUGGACUGGGGCACACCAAAGGCAUGAGUUCUCAGAUCUCACAACUGCCACGUCCCAGAGGAAAUUCUUGGAAACGAGUCUG
rnacentral:lncRNA from 1 species